GACGAACGCUGGCGGCGUGCUUAACACAUGCAAGUCGAACGAACUGGCGAACGGGUGAGUAAUACGUGAGUAACCUGCCCUCCUUUUUGGGCUAAGCCAUGGAAACGCGGUCUAAUACCGGAUAAAGGGGGAUGGGCUCGCGGCCUAGCAGCUUGUUGGUGGGGUGAUGGCCUACCAAGGCGGGGACGGGUAGCCGGCCUGAGUGGGUGGGCGGCCACAUUGGGACGGCGAUACGGCCCAGACUCCUACGGGAGGCAGCAGUGGGGGAUAUUGCACAAUGGGCGAAAGCCUGAUGCAGCGACUCCGCGUGGGGGAUGAAGGCUUUCUGGUUGUAAACCUCUGUUUAAGAAGAACCGGUAUCUUACCAGAAAGCCACGGCUAACUACGUGCCAGCAGCCGCGGUAAUUC
rnacentral:rRNA from 1 species